rnacentral:tRNA from 1 species
CGGGACGUGGCGCAGCCUGGUAGCGCGCCUGCUUUGGGAGCAGGAGGCCGGCGGUUCGAAUCCGCCCGUCCCGACCU